AUUGAACGCUGGCGGCAUGCUUUACACAUGCAAGUCGAACGGUAACAGGGUGCUUGCACCGCUGACGAGUGGCGAACGGGUGAGUAAUGCAUCGGAAUGUACCGUGUAAUGGGGGAUAGCUCGGCGAAAGCCGGAUUAAUACCGCACACGCCCUGAGGGGGAAAGUGGGGGACCGAAAGGCCUCACGUUAUACGAGCAGCCGAUGUCUGAUUAGCUAGUUGGUGAGGUAAAGGCUCACCAAGGCGUCGAUCAGUAGCGGGUCUGAGAGGAUGAUCCGCCACACUGGGACUGAGACACGGCCCAGACUCCUACGGGAGGCAGCAGUGGGGAAUUUUGGACAAUGGGCGCAAGCCUGAUCCAGCCAUGCCGCGUGUCUGAAGAAGGCCUUCGGGUUGUAAAGGACUUUUGUCCGGGAGCAAAUCCUAGUGGUUAAUAACCGCUGGGUCUGAGAGUACCGGAAGAAUAAGCACCGGCUAACUACGUG
rnacentral:rRNA from 1 species